GCGCCCGUGGUGAAACGGAUAUCACCGCAGUCUACGGAACUGCUGUUUCGGGUUCGAGUCCUGACGAGCGCACCA
rnacentral:tRNA from 1 species